rnacentral:rRNA from 1 species
UACGGAGGGUGCAAGCGUUGUCCGGAAUCACUGGGCGUAAAGGGCGCGUAGGCGGCUCAUGAAGGCUGUGGUGAAAGUCCGGGGCUCAACCUCGGAUCGGCCGUGGCGACUCGUGGGCUGGAGCACUGUAGAGGCGGGUGGAAUUCCGGGUGUAGCGGUGGAAUGCGUAGAGAUCCGGAGGAACACCAGUGGCGAAGGCGACACGCUGGGCCGUACCUGACACUGAUACGCGACAGCAUGGGGAGCGAACAGG